rnacentral:rRNA from 1 species
ACGCUGGCGGCGUGCCUAACACAUGCAAGUCGAACGAGAUGCUUAUUGGAAAGCUUCGGCCGGAAGAUACGUUAUCUAGUGGCGGACGGGUGAGUAACACGUGGGUAACCUGCCUUAUGGAGGGGGAUAACAGAGAGAAAUCACUGCUAAUACCGCAUAAGCACACAGUACCGCAUGGUACAGGGUGAAAAGAUUUAUCGCCAUAAGAUGGACCCGCGUCUGAUUAGCCAGUUGGCAGGGUAAAAGCCUACCAAAGCAACGAUCAGUGGCCGAUCUGAGAGGAUGACCGGCCACAUUGGGACUGAGACACGGCCCAAACCCCUACGGGAGGCAGCAGUGGGGAAUAUUGCACAAUGGGGGAAACCCUGAUGCAGCGACGCCGCGUGAGUGAAGAAGUAUUUCGGUAUGUAAAGCUCUAUCAGCAGGGAAGAUAAUGACAGUACCUGACUAAGAAGCCCCGGCUAACUACGUGCCAGCAGCCGCGGUAAUACGUUGGGGGCAAGCGUUAUCCGGAUUUACUGGGUGUAAAGGGAGCGUAGACGGAAUGGCAAGUCUGAAGUGAAAUACCCGGGCUCAACCUGGGAACUGCUUUGGAAACUGUUGUUCUAGAGUGUUGGAGAGGUAAGUGGAAUUCCUGGUGUAGCGGUGAAAUGCGUAGAUAUCAGGAAGAACACCGGAGGCGAAGGCGGCUUACUGGACAAUAACUGACGUUGAGGCUCGAAAGCGUGGGGAUCAAACAGGAUUAGAUACCCUGGUAGUCCACGCUGUAAACGAUGAAUACUAGGUGUCGGGGUGCAAAGCAUCUCGGUGCCGUCGCUAACGCAAUAAGUAUUCCACCUGGGGAGUACGUUCGCAAGAAUGAAACUCAAAGGAAUUGACGGGGACCCGCACAAGCGGUGGAGCAUGUGGUUUAAUUCGAA